rnacentral:rRNA from 1 species
UACGUAGGGGGCUAGCGUUGUCCGGAAUCAUUGGGCGUAAAGCGCGUGUAGGCGGUCCGGUAAGUCCGCUGUGAAAGUCGGGGGGCUCAACCCUCGGAUGCCGGUGGAUACUGUCGGGCUUGAGUACGGAAGAGGCGAGUGGAAUUCCUGGUGUAGCGGUGAAAUGCGCAGAUAUCAGGAGGAACACCAAUUGCGAAGGCAGCUCGCUGGGACGUUACUGACGCUGAGAACGCGAAAGCGUGGGGAGCAAACAGG